CCUACGGGUGGCUGCAGUGGGGAAUAUCGGACAAUGGGGGCAACCCUGAUCCAGCCAUGCCGCGUGUGUGAAGAAGGCCCUCGGGUUGUAAAGCACUUUCAGUGAGGAAGAACGCCUGGUGGUUAAUACCCAUCAGGAAAGACAUCACUCACAGAAGAAGCACCGGCUAACUCCGUGCCAGCAGCCGCGGUAAUACGGAGGGUGCGAGCGUUAAUCGGAAUUACUGGGCGUAAAGCGCGCGUAGGUGGCUUGAUAAGCCGGUUGUGAAAGCCCCGGGCUCAACCUGGGAACGGCAUCCGGAACCGUCAAGCUAGAGUGCAGGAGAGGAAGGUAGAAUUCCCGGUGUAGCGGUGAAAUGCGUAGAGAUCGGGAGGAAUACCAGUGGCGAAGGCGGCCUUCUGGACUGACACUGACACUGAGGUGCGAAAGCGUGGGUAGCAAACAGGAUUAGAUACCCGGGUAGUC
rnacentral:rRNA from 1 species